GCUGAAGGUGCCGCUCCCAUUAUUGAGCCAUACUUUGUCUCCGUAUUCGUACUCGGUAAUGAGGACGUCCAGGUCUCCGUCAGCGUCCAGAUCGCCCAGUUCCACGGUCU
rnacentral:rRNA from 1 species